rnacentral:rRNA from 1 species
ACGCUCGACACCUACGGAGGCAGCAGUGGGGAAUAUUGCACAAUGGGGGAAACCCUGAUGCAGCAACGCCGCGUGAAGGAAGACGGUUUUCGGAUUGUAAACUUCUGUUCUUAGUGAAGAUAGUGACGGUAGCUAAGGAGCAAGCCACGGCUAACUACGUGCCUGCAGCCGCGGUAAUCUGAGCGGGCUGGCAAGGC